rnacentral:lncRNA from 1 species
UGGAGGAGAUUUGAUGAAAAUGUGAAGGAAGGUGAAAUGGGUUGAGAGAGACAAACAAGAUUUGACGAAAAUGAAUGACUUUUAUGAGAUGAGGUGAAGCUAGAGACUUUAGAGAUUUUAGUGCAUGAAUGUGAAAUGAUUUUUUUUUACCAAAGAUGGAAUAUGAGUCGACCUCUGAGUUAAUGUGCCGACCUGUUAAGGUUAUG